rnacentral:rRNA from 1 species
GACGAACGCUGGCGGCGUGCUUAACACAUGCAAGUCGAACGGUGAAGGGAUCAGCUUGCUGGUUCUGGAUGAGUGGCGAACGGGUGAGUAACACGUGAGUAACCUGCUCCCUUCUUCUGGAUAACCGCAUGAAAGUGUGGCUAAUACGGGAUAUUCUGCGCCUGCUGCAUGGUGGGUGUGGGAAAGAUAUUGUUUCGGUGGGGGAUGGGCUCGCGGCCUAUCAGCUUGUUGGUGGGGUGAUGGCCUACCAAGGCGGUGACGGGUAGCCGGCCUGAGAGGGUGGACGGUCACACUGGGACUGAGACACGGCCCAGACUCCUACGGGAGGCAGCAGUGGGGAAUAUUGCACAAUGGGCGCAAGCCUGAUGCAGCGACGCCGCGUGAGGGAUGGAGGCCUUCGUGUUGUGAACCUCUUUCGCCAGUGAAGCAGGCCUGUCCCUUGUGGGUGGGUUGACGGUAGCUGGAUAAGAAGCGCCGGCUAACUACGUG